GGCUCCGACCCGCUGCCCCUUACGCAACCGCUCACGAAAUGUCACGUUUUUGGUGGGAAAAAUGGCUCUCAUCUUUAAAGCUCCGCCCAUCUUCAUCCCUCCUGCCAAUCAGAUUCCUGAAUAGUCAGGUUUCCAAAAGGGGCGUGCUUAAAUUCCUGUCUUCUGAUUGGCCGGCGCGGCUAGGAAAUCUAAGAAAAGACCUCUGAAGAUCUACGUUAUCAAAACGUAGCGGCGCUAGGAGGGGCUUAAAGGGGCUGAAGUCAGGGCCUUGCACCCAUGGCCUCGAGUCUGGCUCAGGCUCGCUCACUAAUGGGAUUACAGGACACCUGCCCCGGAUCCCAAGGUCGACCAUUGGAUGAAAUUUAGAAGCGUGAAGAUUUCACUAGAGUACCCCCGUCACCAACGUGUAGGAUAUCAGAUCAUGUAGAAACCUCUCUAGAAAAAUCAAUGCCUCGCCCAUACUGAAAGAAGAUCAUCAUUCUCCCCAGGGAUAGACUAAAUACUGUAGUCAUUAAAGGGGUACUCCGUGAAAAACAAUUAUUUUUUGGUGCCAGAAAGUUAAACAGAUUUGUAAAUGACCUCUAUUAAAAAAAAAUCUUAAU